rnacentral:rRNA from 1 species
AUUGAACGCUGGCGGCAGGCCUAACACAUGCAAGUCGAACGGUAACAGGAAGAAGCUUGCUUCUUUGCUGACGAGUGGCGGACGGGUGAGUAAUGUCUGGGAAACUGCCUGAUGGAGGGGGAUAACUACUGGAAACGGUAGCUAAUACCGCAUAACGUCGCAAGACCAAAGAGGGGGACCUUCGGGCCUCUUGCCAUCGUAUGUGCCCAGAUGGGAUUAGCUAGUAGGUGGGGUAACGGCUCACCCAGGCGACGAUCCCUAGCUGGUCUGAGAGGAUGACCAGCCACACUGGAACUGAGACACGGUCCAGACUCCUACGGGAGGCAGCAGUGGGGAAUAUUGGACAAUGGGCGCAAGCCUGAUGCAGCCAUGCCGCGUGUAUGAAGAAGGCCUUCGGGUUGUAAAGUACUUUCAGCGGGGAGGAAGGGAGUAAAGUUAAUACCUUUGCUCAUUGACGUUACCCGCAGAAGAAGCACCGGCUAACUCCGUG